GGAUCAUUAAUGAAAUUAUAAUCCGGCGAGGGAAAGGCGGAGAGUUGUAGCUGGCCCCAGGGCAUGUGCACGCUCUCUUCYGGACUUUCGCCGUAUGGGCGCGGGGCGACCCGCGUCUUCAUAUACCUCUUCGUGUAGAAAGUCUUUGAAUGUUAUUACCAUCAUCGAGUCGCGACUUCUAGGAGACGCGAUUCUUUGAGACAAAAGUUAUYACAACUUUCAGCAACGGAUCUCUUGGCUCUCGCAUCGAUGAAGAACGCAGCGAAUCGCGAUAUGUAAUGUGAAUUGCAGAUCUACAGUGAAUCAUCGAAUCUUUGAACGCACCUUGCGCUCCUCGGUGUUCCGAGGAGCAUGCCUGUUUGAGUGUCAGUAAAUUCUCAACCCCUCUCGAUUUGCUUCGACAGGGUGCUUGGAUGUUGGGGGCUGCCGGAGACACUGGACUCGUCCAGGACUCGGGCUCCUCUUAAAUGAAUCGGCUUGCGGUCGACUUUCGACUUUGCAUGACAAGGCCUUUGGCGUGAUAAUGAUCGCCGUUCGCCGAAGUGCAAGACAGAACGGUCCCGUGCCUCUAAUGCGUCGACGCCUCUCGGGGCCGUCUUCCUCAUUGACGUUUGACCUCAAUCAGGUAGGACUACC
rnacentral:rRNA from 1 species